GACGCAACCACAAUUUUUGCUUCAAUAACAACGGCGCAAAUUGCGUCUUUUCUUACAUUUUUGGGACCACGGUCGAUAAUAUCGCUAUGCCUGAGCAAAGACAGGUUUCUGCCGCCGACGGCAACGAGAAUUUGUUGCAAGAGAAAAUCGAUAAUCUUAAGAAGAACUGAAGAAUUAAUCGAAUUUAUGGCAGUAGUGCCUGCGGAGAAAAUUAUGUGUUUGCCAUUUUUGAACUCUCUUUUUUUAGUUGUUGGGGAAAAAGGCCUUAAAGGCCGCCACUAGCUGAUCUGAAACUCAAGUUCCAAAGUGCCGAGGCGUUCGAGGACACUUGACCGGUCGUACAGGUCAAUCAAGAAUUAUUAGGGUCGCCAUACUUCAAGGACAUGAAGAAGUUUUCGCCCGGCAAGAACUCCGACCAAGUGAAAAUGGAGCAGGAGGGCUUUCUGGACUUCGCCAAUCUCGAGGCUCUUAAGAAAUGGCAGCACUGGGAGAUGAAGCUGUUGGAGGUGACCUUGCGCAAAGUGGCCCUGGGUGCCCUGCGGAGGCCUUUGGUGGCCAAAAGGUGGACCAGCAGAAAGUGGAGAGGAAAGCAAACUUGUCGUCGGCCCUCACCGCCGAUGUGCGCAUUGCCGAGAUCAACGAGCAGAUCCAGCAAAUGAGUGGCGAAGCCCUUUUUGACAAGCUCAGCGACCAAAAGGCUGAGCACGACUGGUGCCGCAUUUCGGUCACCGAAUUCAAAGGUCAGCGUUCGCCACUCGAGCUGCAAGCCAUGUGGAAGCAGUGCUUGGUCCUCACCCUGGAGAGGACGGCCUGGACCAAACAUGAAAAUGAUCUCUUGAGGAUAUUUUAUAAAUGACAAAUCUCUGCAGUAUUGUUUGAAAUGUAGAGAAACUGCUUCACCUACGCCAAUUAAUGGCAUAAAUAGAAAUGUAAAAUCGAAGAAUUGUGACCUCAAUUCCACUCUCAGUUUAAGUCUCUGGCUGUGAUGCUGCUUUACUCAUAGAUUUUUCCCACGAUGGAAGGUAUUAAUUUAAUUACGUGAAUAUUUUUUAUUUAGUUUGCUGCGAGCAAGUACAGUUUUCAAAACUGGGCGGCCGUCAGUGCCGAAAUGAGUGGCAAACGCUCAUCCAUGUACCAGUGCUUCCUGCACUACCAAAUUAAGCAUUCUGAACAAGUUCAGGGAGGUUUGGAGUGGCGCCGAUGACAAGAAACUCGAAUCCACUGUCAAGAAUCUGCAGAAAGGAAAAUUCAUUACUCCGGAAAAGAAGGUAUUUUAUUAUUACUUCUUAAACAUCUGAAGUGAAUGAUCAAGAAUUAGAAGCUGCAAAGGUAUAUCACAUAUAGGUAUACAUUGACAAGCAAAAUGUCGUCAAACAAGAACGAGAGGAAUUGAAACCGGCGCAAGAAAGGAAGAAAAUGCAGAGGCCGAGAUCGAUUCGCCCAUUUUUCCGGAUCUCCACCAUUGUCUUGUCCUCAUUCUCAGAGAACUUCAAGAAGAAAGGGUUUUGCGCAUUCAUUAGAUCAGAGGGAAAUCAGUAGAAUGAUGAUGAAAAGCGACAAGCAGGAGCAAAUGCUCGAGGGUGAGCAAAGAUCUCUCGUCCGGACUGCUAGUACAACUGGACUUUCAUUCUCAAAGUGUCCGAAAGAAGGACGCCGAGUUGGAAACUUCUGUCCAGAAGGCACUCAGACUGGAGGUCCAGUUGUCUCUUGCCAAGCAGGAAAUUGGUGUUCUCCGAGCAGAGUCCCACAAAUUAGAGGUUCAAAUUCUGAAGUUGACACAAAAAGCAGCGAGUCUUGAGACAAGGAUGAUUCAGUUUGCCAAUUUCAACGAAUCCUGCGGAGGCUUUCAAGACAAAGUUAAAUUUUAUCUUUCAUCGUCUGAACAGGAAUUGUCUUCGCUGAGGAAAGAAGUUUGCCGAGUUCAAGAUUAUGUUGAAAAGUGUUGUAAGCAAGCUGUGGGUUUUGAUACCUUCUGGUGGAAAAAGAAUACCUUUAGUUGCUUCAGUUUUUUGUGUAGAUGCUAAUAUAAAUGUAAAGAAGAAUUUAAAGAAAUAAGUGGCCACACAAAUGCGAACUUCAUUUAAAUGUACGUUCUGCUCUUGUGAAAUAAGAGAAAAAAUAUCAAGAUUUAAUACAAAGCCAGGAAUGUGGUCAAGUUUGCUUCUGAUGCCCAGAAGGCUUAAAGGGUCGGUCGGAAGGGAAAAAAGAAAAACGCCCUGCACUUUGAGCUGCACCAGGUCUUUUGCAAGCAGCGGAUGGUCAAGGCCGCGGCCACUGACCCCGACUACUACAGCAUCCUCAACGUGUACCGCCAGCUGCGGAUGCUGCGUUUCAAAGUGGGCUGGGACUGUGGCAAGACGAGUGUCACUCAAUUGAUUCCUCAGAACGACUCUUCUGGAAGAGCGCAACAUUUUGCCCAUGAGCCUGGAGGAUAAGAGGGAGGUGCCAACCUACACCUCAAGGGAGUUUUCACCAGGGCUGACUUGACCUGGAACCCACCUGAUUUGGAUUACAAUAUGAAGGUCUCAAUUCAUUUUACCAAAUUUUUAUAUAUUUUUCUUUAGUUGACGAAGACGCCCGUCCUGAGCAGAAUGGCAAAGGCUCUCGUGAAUUGCCAAUCCUGAAGAAGCCGUGUCCCUUUUCAUGCAGAGGUUUUUCUCGCUGCUGCUCUGGCCAAGCUACAUGUCUUGCUUUGCUCCUUCGCUGGACUACAAAGAGGACUUGUUUGAGGGUGAAAGGAUGGCUUUUGUGCUAGUUCCAAUGAAGACGAGGACGAAGUGGACAACUUGUUCCUUGACUUUGACACUGACGAGGAGGGCAAAAAGAAGAAAUCCUGCAAUGAAAUGGAAAGUGAGGAGGAGAGGAAGUGGAUGCUGAGGAAGCAGUGGCUGCAGUACAGGGAAGAGAAACUGAGUCCGCCAGUGCUGGUGGAAAAAUAGGUGCCCAAGAAGAGGGUAAGAAAGAAGAUGGAAGCGGACAAUGCUUGCAGAGCCUCAUCAGGAACAACAUUUCCUUCGCUCCAUAGAAUUGAAUGGAUUUUUAGGAUUUCUCUUUGCUUCAGAUUAUAAUCUUAAUGUUAGUAUUUUUACUAGGACAAUACAAUUAAAAUUUAACAUCUAAAACAAAUGUAUUAAACACCUGAAUGUAUUUAGAAUAUAAGAACUCCUUGACACCUACGAUUUCAUUAUGAGAAGCUUUUUUCACAACAAUUAUUUGAUGCAGGAAAAAUGUAAUUUAAUUACAUAUUUAGCAAUGUCCUCAUUUUUCUGUAAAUAAAUUUGA